UCUUCGCACUCUGGAGAGCGGCAGUAGCGUGCAGCGCACGCAAGCUGCCCACCGAAGGGGCGCGCGCUACGUAGCAACGUCGGCGCAAUCUCUCAGGUACCGAGGACAGAGGGGGCAUG
rnacentral:ncRNA from 2 species